UCCGGUUUGUCACCGGCAGUCUCGCGUGAGUCCCCAACUUAAUGCUGGCAACACGCGACAAGGGUUGCGCUCGUUGCGGGACUUAACCCAACAUCUCACGACACGAGCUGACGACAGCCAUGCAGCACCUGUGUCCACGCCCCUUGCGGGGAGGAACCCGUCUCCGGGAACCGUCGUGGCAUGUCAAGGGCUGGUAAGGUUCUGCGCGUUGCUUCGAAUUAAUCCACAUAAUCCACCGCUUGUGCGGGUCCCCGUCAAUUCCUUUGAGUUUUAGUCUUGCGACCGUACUCCCCAGGCGGAGUGCUUAAUGCGUUAGCUGCGGCACAGAGCGGGUUGAAGACCGCCCCACACCUAGCACUCAACGUUUACGGCUGGGACUAC
rnacentral:misc_RNA from 1 species